CCUGGGAACGGGGAGUAAUACCGUAUGUGCCCUACGGGGAAAAGAUUUAUCGCCAAAGGAUUAGCCCAUGUUGGAUUAGCUGGUUGGUGAGGUAAAAGCUCACCAAGGCGACGAUCUAUAGCUGGUUUGAGAGGAUGAUCAGCCACACUGGGACUGAGACACGGCCCAGACUCCUACGGGAGGCAGCAGUGGGGAAUAUUAGACAAUGGGCGAAAGCCUGAUCUAGCCAUGCCGCGUGAGUGAAGAAGGCCCUAGGGUUGUAAAGCUCUUUCAGAUGUGAGGAUGAUGACAGUAACAUCAGAAGAAGCCCCGGCUAACUUCGUGCCAGCAGCCGCGGUAAUACGAAGGGGGCUAGCGUNGUUCGGAAUUACUGGGCGUAAAG
rnacentral:rRNA from 1 species